rnacentral:rRNA from 1 species
AUACGAAGGGUGCGAGCGUUAAUCGGAAUUACUGGGCGUAAAGCGCGCGUAGGCGGUUGGAUAAGUCGGAUGUGAAAGCCCCGGGCUCAACCUGGGAAUUGCAUUCGAAACUGUCCGGCUAGAGUAUGGUAGAGGGAAGCGGAAUUCCACAUGUAGCGGUGAAAUGCGUAGAUAUGUGGAGGAACACCAGUGGCGAAGGCGGCUUCCUGGACCAAUACUGACGCUGAGGUGUGAAAGCGUGGGGAGCAAACAGGAUUAGAAACCCUAGUAGUCC